rnacentral:rRNA from 1 species
AUGGAACUAACCCGGACUGACACUGUUUUCAGCAGACUUUCCAUUGCGUUAUUUAUGUGCAGAAACAAAAGUUCUCAGAAUGACCUGAAACUCCACGGAACAUAUUUUUGGAAAAUAUUAAAAAUACUGGAAGAAGAAUCCACGUCAGGGGCCCACACCCUGUCCACGAGGGUGGGGGCGCGCCCCCUGCCUCGAGGGCCCCCUGAGGCUCCACCGACCUCAACUCCAACUCCAUACAUUCACUUUCAUGGAGAAAAAAGUCAAAGAGAAGGAUUCAUCUCGUUUUAUGAUACGGAGCCGCCGCCAAGCCCUAAAACCUCUCGGGAGGACUGA